rnacentral:rRNA from 1 species
GAUGAACGCUGGCGGCGUGCUUAACACAUGCAAGUCGAACGACUAAAGCCCCCUUCGGGGGGUGUAUAGAGUGGCGAACGGGUGAGUAACACGUGGGCAACCUGCCCUCCGCUCCGGGAUAACUCAGGGAAACCUGUGCUAAUACCGGAUACUCCGAUCGGGUCGCAUGGCCUGAUCGGGAAAGCUCCGGCGGCGGAGGAUGGGCCCGCGGCCCAUUAGCUUGUUGGUGAGGUAACGGCUCACCAAGGCCGCGAUGGGUAGCCGAGCUGAGAGGCUGAUCGGCCACACUGGGACUGAGACACGGCCCAGACUCCUACGGGAGGCAGCAGUGGGGAAUUUUGCGCAAUGGACGAAAGCCUGACGCAGCAACGCCGCGUGCGGGAUGAAGGCCUUCGGGUUGUAAACCGCUUUCAGCAGGGACGAAACUGACUGUACCUGCAGAAGAAGCCCCGGCUAACUACGUGCCAGCCGCCGCGGUAAGAC